rnacentral:rRNA from 1 species
UCGAGCGAAUGGAUUAAGAGCUUGCUCUUAUGAAGUUAGCGGCGGACGGGUGAGUAACACGUGGGUAACCUGCCCAUAAGACUGGGAUAACUCCGGGAAACCGGGGCUAAUACCGGAUAACAUUUUGAACCGCAUGGUUCGAAAUUGAAAGGCGGCUUCGGCUGUCACUUAUGGAUGGACCCGCGUCGCAUUAGCUAGUUGGUGAGGUAACGGCUCACCAAGGCAACGAUGCGUAGCCGACCUGAGAGGGUGAUCGGCCACACUGGGACUGAGACACGGCCCAGACUCCUACGGGAGGCAGCAGUAGGGAAUCUUCCGCAAUGGACGAAAGUCUGACGGAGCAACGCCGCGUGAGUGAUGAAGGCUUUCGGGUCGUAAAACUCUGUUGUUAGGGAAGAACAAGUGCUAGUUGAAUAAGCUGGCACCUUGACGG